GCGGAUGUGGUGUAGCGGUAGCACUGGAGGUUUCCAACCUCCCUGCGUGGGUUCGAGUCCCGCCAUCCGCA
rnacentral:tRNA from 1 species